rfam:Triticum aestivum genome assembly, contig: Triticum_aestivum_CS42_TGACv1_scaffold_642702_T_2BL-0.236500_6BL-0.131271
CUGGUAUUCCCUCCGUUCGGAAUUACUUGUCGCGAAAAUAAAUGUACCUAGACAUAUUUUAGUUCUAGAUACAUCCAUUUUCGAGACAAGUAAUUCCGGACGGAGGGAGUAUGAU